rnacentral:rRNA from 1 species
CCUACGGGAGGCAGCAGUGAGGAAUUUUCCGCAAUGGGCGAAAGCCUGACGGAGCAAUACCGCGUGAAGGAUGAAGGCCUAUGGGUUGUAAACUUCUUUUCUCAGAGAAGAAUUUUGACGGUAUCUGAGGAAUAAGCAUCGGCUAACUCUGUGCCAGCAGCCGCGGUAAGACAGAGGAUGCAAGCGUUAUCCGGAUUAAUUGGGCGUAAAGCGUCUGUAGGUGGUUUAUCAAGUCUUUUGUCAAAGAUCGGGGCCUAACCCCGGGCAGGCAGAGGAAACUAAUAGACUUGAGUUCGGUAGGGGCAGAGGGAAUUCCCGGUGGAGCGGUGAAAUGCGUAGAGAUCGGGAGGAACACCAAAGGCGAAGGCACUCUGCUGGGCCACAACUGACACUGAGAGACGAAAGCGAGGGUAGCAAAUGGGAUUAGAUACCCCAGUAGUCCUCGCCGUAAACGAUGGAUACUAGGUGUUGGAUGAGUUCAAUCAUUCAGUACCGUAGCUAACGCGUGAAGUAUCCCGCCUGGGGAGUACGCUCGCAAGAGUGAAACUCAAAGGAAUUGACGG